rnacentral:rRNA from 1 species
UAGGGAAUCUUCCGCAAUGGGCGAAAGCCUGACGGAGCAACGCCGCGUGAGUGAUGAAGGUCUUCGGAUCGUAAAACUCUGUUAUUAGGGAAGAACAAAUGUGUAAGUAACUAUGCACGUCUUGACGGUACCUAAUCAGAAAGCCACGGCUAACUACGUGCCAGCAGCCGCGGUAAUACGUAGGUGGCAAGCGUUACCCGGAAUUAUUGGGCGUAAAGCGCGCGUAGGCGGUUUUUUAAGUCUGCUGUGAAAGCCCACGGCUCAACCGUGGAAGGUCAAUGGAAACUGGAAAACUUGAGUGCAGAAGAGGAAAGUGGAAUUCCAUGUGUAGCGGUGAAAUGCGCAGAGAUAUGGAGGAACACCAGUGGCGAAGGCGACUUUCUGGUCUGUAACUGACGCUGAUGUGCGAAAGCGUGGGGAUCAAACAGG